UACGGAGGGUGCGAGCGUUGUCCGGAAUCAUUGGGCGUAAAGGGCGCGUAGGCGGCCUUCUAAGUCGAACGUGAAAUCCCUGGGCUCAACCCAGGAACUGCGUCCGAUACUGGAAGGCUUGAACCCGGGAGAGGGAUGCGGAAUUCCAGGUGUAGCGGUGAAAUGCGUAGAUAUCUGGAGGAACACCGGUGGCGAAGGCGGCAUCCUGGACCGGCAUUGACGCUGAGGCGCGAAAGCGUGGGGAGCAAACAGG
rnacentral:rRNA from 1 species